CGUAAUUUUCGUCUCAUAUGCUUGUAAUAUUUAAACUUUAUAUUACGUGACGUACGUACAUAUUGCGGAAGUAUUUUGAAUACUGUAAUAAUUUUAAAUAAUUUCACACAUUUAGUGCAAAUUAGACCAUUCCAAAUUAAACUUUAGUUUCCCAUCCAUAGCCCACGCCUCCAAAUUUUGAUCUAUUCUAAAACUACACCCGAGUGACAGACG